CCUACGGGCGGCAGCAGUGAGGAAUAUUGGUCAAUGGGCGCGAGCCUGAACCAGCCAAGUCGCGUGAGGGAAGACGGUCCUAUGGAUUGUAAACCUCUUUUGUCGGGGAGCAAAAGACGCCACGCGUGGCGUUCCGAGAGUACCCGAAGAAAAAGCAUCGGCUAACUCCGUGCCAGCAGCCGCGGUAAUACGGAGGAUGCGAGCGUUAUCCGGAUUUAUUGGGUUUAAAGGGUGCGCAGGCGGAAGAUCAAGUCAGCGGCAAAAUUGAGAGGCUCAACCUCUUCGAGCCGUUGAAACUGGUGUUCUUGAGUGAGCGAGAAGUAUGCGGAAUGCGUGGUGUAGCGGUGAAAUGCAUAGAUAUCACGCAGAACCCCGAUUGCGAAGGCAGCAUGCCGGCUUCCGACUGACGCUGAAGCACGAAAGCGUGGGGAUCGAACAGGAUUAGAUACCCCGGUAGUC
rnacentral:rRNA from 1 species